AACGAACGCUGGCGGCAGGCCUAACACAUGCAAGUCGAGCGAAGCCUUCGGGCUUAGCGGCGGACGGGUGAAUAACGCGUGGGAACGUGCCCUUUGCUACGGAAUAGCCCCGGGAAACUGGGAGUAAUACCGUAUGUGCCCGAGAGGGGAAAGAUUUAUCGGCAAAGGAUCGGCCCGCGUUGGAUUAGGUAGUUGGUGGGGUAAUGGCCUACCAAGCCGACGAUCCAUAGCUGGUUUGAGAGGAUGAUCAGCCACACUGGGACUGAGACACGGCCCAGACUCCUACGGGAGGCAGCAGUGGGGAAUCUUAGACAAUGGGGGAAACCCUGAUCUAGCCAUGCCGCGUGAGCGAUGAAGGCCUUAGGGUUGUAAAGCUCUUUCAGUGGGGAAGAUAAUGACGGUACCCACAGAAGAAGCCCCGGCUAACUCCGUGCCAGCAGCCGCAGUAAUAC
rnacentral:rRNA from 1 species